UCUGGGAUGGUGUAACUUGAAUUGCAUAUUUCUAAGAUGCCUCCAGGAACAGGGAAAGUAGAAAAAAUCAUUAUAAAAUCGAAAAAAAUAAGAAAAAAUAGGGAAUAAUUCUGGAAUGACGUUUGCAGGUAUCCUUCUGGAUCAGGGAAGAUUGAGAGAGAUCAUUCAAUUUACAAUCUCUAACGCGUGAUAUUCGGCAACAUGCAGAGAUUGCAGCGUACUCAACUCUCCUUCUCGAAUCUUGAAACAUUUUCUAAACAGUGAACACAAGGAGUGCAAGUUCGGUUUGCCUCAAGUCCAACAGGUUACCUGCAUCUCGGAGUCCUGUACAACAUGGUGCAAUUAUUCAUUGGCUCGAGCAGACCGAGGAAAUUUUAUUCUACGCUUAGAAUACACAGAUUGAACAGGACUCAUACCAUACGCUACCAGUGAACUCAAAGGGGAUCUAUUCUGGGCUGGAAUCCUCCCCGACAAAGACCCGACAAGCUAUAGUUACGUUUCAUCAUAUUUCCUCACCUUCUCUUAUUUUUAUUUUCAGGAGAACAUUGGACAGUCUCCGAAGCGAAGGUGCCACCGCACUUGCAUAGAAAAUACGAGACUAUCCUCGAUGCAUUUACACCACUGGACUAUAUGUAUACAAUAUCCUGUGGCUCGGUGAUUUAAACAUCCAAUCAUAUGUUCCAAGUAAAUAAUUUCGUAGAAAUUAAUGAUAAUGUAUACGUCUCGUAUCUCAGAGAACAAGAAAUAAAUAACAGAAUGUUAAAUGAAAUGAAACUAUCGUCCAUAAUCUUGUAACGCACUAAUCAUAAGUAUACAAAAAUGAAUUUAUAUUGUCCAUUACAAAGUCUCAAUAUGUAUUCUUGACGAUUAAUUUAUUAAUAAAAACUCCCUGUAAC